CCUACGGGAGGCAGCAGUGGGGAAUAUUGGGCAAUGGGCGCAAGCCUGACCCAGCAACGCCGCGUGAAGGAAGAAGGCUUUCGGGUUGUAAACUUCUUUUAAGCGGGAAGAGCAGAAGACGGUACCUCUUGAAUAAGCCACGGCUAACUACGUGCCAGCCGCCGCGGUAAUAAGCAGGUGGCAAGCGUUGUCCGGAUUUACUGGGGGUAAAGGGCGUGCAGCCGGGAAGACAAGUCAGAUGUGAAAUCCCGAGACUCAACCGCGGAACUGCAUUUGAAACUGUCUUUCUUGAGUACCGGAGAGGUCAUCGGAAUUCCUUGUGUAGCGGUGAAAUGCGUAGAUAUAAGGAAGAACUCCAGUGGCGAAGGCGGAUGACUGGACGGCAACUGACGGUGAGGCGCGAAAGCGUGGGGAGCAAACAGGAUUAGAUACCCUUGUAGUC
rnacentral:rRNA from 1 species